AAGGUCUAAUUUUUGAUGUAGUGAUUUCUGGCGACUGGCGUGUAUCGAGUAUACCCGAGAAGAAAAAGGAGUGUGUUGAUUUUGAGCGUAGGCUGUCUCGAAUCAAAGUGGCUUCUUGUCGUUCCUUGCUUUGUUUAACACGAUCAAGAUAUAUAGAUUAAGUGAACUUUUCAUCGAGAACUGCAAUCUGGGUUUGCGGGAUUCUCCUUUUCUGAUCUUGGUGAACGAAUUCUCAGUUUUUGGUUUGAUUUGGUUUUCAUUGAGCUUCGUUUGAUCCUUGGAGUGCUUGAGUGGGAGCUGGAUGCUGUUUUCAUAUAGAUGUAAACAUGGAAAAGAAGAAGACAAUCUCUCAUUACAGAGAGAGGCUGGACAAUACUGUCUUCUGCCGAACUGACCGAUCCUGUGACGCUUAAAACCCUUGUCAAGAAUCAGAUUUUACAAUGUGCACAAGAUGAGAAAGAAGAGUUUAGUGAACAUUUAUUGGAUAAAAGGGCUCGGGAAGUAUCCAAUUUUCUCGACAUGUUGAGGAGUACUUCUGUUGAUGAUCAUCAACUGUCAGAAUCCCGUGAGACAUCAUCACAUGGUCAAUGGAAAUUGAAGCAUGAUAACGAAGAGUUCCGUGUUAUGUACCGUGAAGGACCUCAUGGUACCCCUUUUCAUACAUUACUCGUUGAAGGCUAUGUAGACGGACCUUUGGAUGUUUGUCUGUGUAUCUCUUGGGAGUCAGCCCUCUACAAGAAAUGGUGGCCUCAGUCUAGCUUUCCACCUUUAAAAGUAACUAAUUCCACCUGUGUGAGAAAGAUCAGACUUGGUGAACAAAUAGCUCUAGUGAGGGUGAAGGUUGCAUGGCCACUGUCAGCUAGGGAGGCUCUAGUACACUUUUUUUCCUUUCAGUACUUCCAAGAUGAUCUGAUUGUUAUUCUCGUGAACACGAUCUCAGAUGUGAGAAAUAUUGAUAGAGCAACACAUGGGUUCACUAACGACAGGAUCCCCGAAGCAAAGGAUGUUGUAAGGAUUGAUGUAGUCGGAGGCUUUGCUUUGCAGAAGGUGAACAGUGGAAGAAGCUACUUUAGGACAAUAGCAAAUAUGGAUAUGAAGCUGGAUUUUGUCCCUCCGUCCCUUAUAAAUUUUAUCGCAAGGCAGCUCAUCGGAAACGGUUUCAAACUCUAUCAAAAGACAGUGGCUUCUGUCACUAAUAGCGAAGAAGAUUACAGCAAGGCCUUGCGAGAGCCUCUGUUUUGUCCGAUACGUGAAAAGCUUUACUCCGAUAACAAAUCAGGCAAAGUUCUUGAAGCACAAGAGCUCAAAAGUGGACCUGAUAUUUUGCCUAAUGAAAAUGUAAUUGAAGACCUACAGGACAAUACUGAUGAUGCGGACCCGAUGAUGGUUCAUGCUAAUGACCCUGCCGGUGAAUCUCCACUGAAGAAAGUAAACAACAGAAAGAGAAAAGCUUUUGGUGAAAUUGAGGAAGAAGAAAAUACUGAAGAGAGUACAUGCCUGGAUGAGGGCAUUACAGCUGCAAAUCAACCUUCAACCGAUAAAUUUGCGGGUUCGAAUGGUGUAAGUGCUAAACAAAAGACUCCUAUUCGUCCAGAGGUGGAUGAAGCUCUACGAACAUUGGAGCAGGCCAUUUCAAUAGUACGACGAUACAGAUUUAAUAAUGUCCGAAGCAGAUCUUCUAGUUUCUCUGAUGAAGGAACUCCUAAUAUCGAAGACGGUGAUGUAAAAGACACAACUUAUGCUGCAGAAGAUAAUGUUCCUCUAGAAGCGGAGGUUGGUCCUGAUGCUGGCUCCGAAAUGGUCGGGAAUCCGGACAUGACGUUGGAUGACUUGAAGAACAGCAAUGACAAUAAUGACACAAGGUCUGCAAGAUCAAAUUCUUUGCCAAGGGAAGUAAACCAUAAGAAAGUAGCACCCGCAUCGCCUCAGCGAAACGUGAUAAUACCAGUGGAGACUAACCAAGUUGGUUUGAAUCCUCAUGGAAACGAAACCUUCACGACAAAUGGUGUAGGUGAUGUUGAGAAGUUGAGUAAAUGGAGAAAGCAUAGGUUCUGUUGCUUUGGCUUCUAUUCACGAGGAAGAAGAAAACCUUGAAUGGAUGGAAAGCAAGACACUUCAUUGUCAGCCUUCAGCAUGGUUUAAUGGUUGUGAAGGGCCUAGAAAAUAACAGCAGCUGGGGUUAUUUUGUUAAACCAAUACAGAUGAAGGACCUAAAAGAACAACUGAUGUUAGCUUUUGAAGUUAAAUUUCAAUGCUCUUCAACUUCGUCAGGUCUAUUGUCCUCUCCACUGUGGAACACGAAGACAACUGAUGUUAGCCAGCUUCAGCUCUUGUUUUCAAGAGAUGUAUAAAAUAGUUUCCUGAUCUACCUCUAAUAGUAGUCAUUAUAAGGUGAAAAGGCCACAUUUGAGCCACAUGCCCCUUUUUGGGAUUUUGACGAUCUUAGUACGCCAUU